AGUCUCGAGCUGGAAGGAGAGGCAGAGGGAGGAGGGGUCAGGCGUCCCUGGAAGUGCCUGGGACAGGGUUCAGCUCCCCAGGACACUGCUGGAGAGGGAGGGGCGAGGCCCCGAGAGUGGCAGGAUGCUCAGAUGGCCAUCCUGGGUGAAGGACUUGAGCCCUGGGAGCCCCAUCCUCUCCCACUGGGCCCCCUCCUAGAGCACCUCAACCUUGGGGCAUCUUCCAGGGAAUUCCAGCACUGUGGGAGCUGCCCAGGCUGACAUCUGGGCCCAGGUGCCUCCGGCUGCAUUUCCCAGAUUCAUCUCUGAAACCAUGACAGGUGAAUGGAGCAGCUAUUUGAGCACCAGGAAAGGAAAUGGUACACAGCAGUUUGGGAUGGCCCCAGCAGAUGAAAUAUAACAGAGUCAGUGUGAGACUCCUGGAUUUCCUCACUGUCCUCUGGCUGGGACUCCAGACAGCCCCAAACCUGAAGGGGCACAAAUCUGAAAACAAAAAGAAGUCCAGAAAGCCCUCUUGUUCAGGAUUGAAGAUAGGAAAAGAAACUUCUUUGGCUCAAAGUGAAGGCUCAGUCCCCUGCACAAGCAGGUGGUUCACACCUGUGUUCUCAUCUCUCAUACCAGCGCCUCUCCCUGGGUUCACACUGAUGUCCUAUGGAUGGAGACGGGGUUUCCUGCACCAGGUCACUCCACAGCCCCUGUAACCUGAAGCCCUGCAGACCAGCCUUGUUCAAUCACAAUAUGAUGUGAGCCUCAUGGGAAUCCCACUGUCUAGUCAUCGCAUUAUAAAUACAAAGAGAAGAAGUCAAUGAGUUUAAAUAAUAUAUUUUAUUUACCUAGCAUAUCAAAAAGUAUCAUUUUCAUAUAUAAUCUAGGUACAAUUAUUUAUGAUAUAUAUCAUAUACUUUGCAUAGCUAGUGUUAUUAUUUUUUGAAGAAUCUUGGAGAUUGUGUGGCUGAUGGAGAUGUGAAUGGGUUUCCUGUUGACAAGGGUGGGGUGUGGUGGCUUUUUAAGUGUCAACUUUGAUAGGCUGAAGGAGGGGUGGAAAGAAUGAUUUUUUCUACAGGGCAUGGAGGGUGGAGGUGGGCAGUGUCCAUCCUGCAGCUCACCCUGUGGGCAGUGUCCAUCCUGCAGCUCACCCUGUGGGUGCAUCUGUGGUCCCUGCAUGGGGUGAGGCUUCUCCUCCUGUCCCGGGUUUCCCUGCAGGGAGAUCUGACUCCAACUCUCCCUCAGACCCAGAGCACCUGGCAAGUCAGGCUCCCUUUCCAUUCCAUACAAAUGCAAGAAACACUCAGAUCUCAUUGGGCAUUUGGAUACUCACAGUGCUAAUUUAGGAAUAAAUGGGCGCUUUCCAGUGUGCAGUGGCCUCCUGAGGUUCCGCAUGGCCCAUGUUGGGGAUGGCUGGUGAUCUUAAUUUGGGUUCCCUGGAAGCAGACUCUGAGAUGAGGAAUUCAUGCACAGAGGAUGUGAGGGAGGCAACACUGGGCGGAAAGAGACCCUGACGCACAUUGAGGUCUCAGUCUUUCCUACAGGGAGCUGUGGAGCUGGGAGGAUUUUCAUUUCCUCCUAUAUUGAGGCAGAGUCUUGAGAACUUGGCCUCAGGCAGUCAUGAAACCUAAUCUUGCUGAGGAAGGGCAUAAACCUGGAGGAGGCAGUUUUCUGCGCUGAGCCACACUUCCCAGGAAAGGCACAGCUCUCAGCUGCCACAAGCUCCCAGCAGUGCUGGGUGGGUGAGCUCAGAAGAAAGAAUCUGGGCAGAUCCUACAGUGUCCACUCCACUGGUUUUUCUGUAGAGAAUGACUUGAGCCUGAGCUGGGCAGUUCUGGGGACUGAUCCAGGAUAUUCAGGCCAAGGACUGGCUUGUCAUGACCAAUGGAAAUCCA
rnacentral:lncRNA from 1 species